UCACAAGGGUCUCCUGCUAAAUUAUUUUUUUUAUUGUUUUCACAACAUCAAAAAGAGAUUUCGUGAUCUUCACCAUCCUAUAAUCAUGGAUCAACAUCAUGGCAACCGCGCUUCUCCAAACGAGAAUUAAAAGAAACUGGAGUGCACGUCAGCUAUGUGAUCUAUCAACAAAGACUCCAGUGGCAAUCGAUCUUGACUGCAGCAACAAUGUUCCUUGCCCUUGGUAUUCAGUUGGAAUAAUCUUUUAAUGGACUCCGCAUCUCAGAUCUAGCUGCAACUAUGCUCAUGGGGGGUGUGGCUAAAGAAAUUGUAGGCCCAAAGUCCUCUUGCUGCAUAAACGCGUGAUGGGACACUGCUUCCAUUUUCAUCGUCAUGUUUUGCCAUGAUGCUUAGUUUCAGGAUCAUGUGCUUCUCGAUCCUUGUAUUUCUGUUGCCAUUGCUGCUGAUAUUUCCUGCUACAAGGUUUGUUUUCGUUGACAAACUUCUCAUUUGUAUGCAAUAUUUCCAUUUUUCCUUGCUCAAUGUUUCUGUGUGGGCGUCCACAUUUUACCCCAACCAUGGAUUUAAAAAUAUUCGAUCAAUCAACACACCAUAGUUUUGUAUGAUCACACUAAACUCUUUUAAAAUCUUGGUUAAAAAAAAGUCAAACAAUUUAUAGCUUUCUUUAAAGCUACUUUCUCAGAACAUAACCAUGAAUUCAUCAUAUAUACGCAAGUGUUGUAAUGUCAUAAAGCCAGCCAUACUUCGAGAUUAAAUGAUAACGGACAUUCAAAAGUUUGAGCAUUUCAGCUAAAAUUACGAGCACCUUCUACAACAACCGAGAGGCAGUUUUGGCAAAAAUUGGCGAUGGUGUGCGGGGUGCUG